rnacentral:misc_RNA from 1 species
GAUGAAGAACGCAGCGAAAUGCGAUACGUAAUGUGAAUUGCAGAAUUCAGUGAAUCAUCGAAUCUUUGAACGCACAUUGCGCCCGCCAGCACUCUGGCGGGCAUGCCUGUUCGAGCGUCAUUUCAACCAUCAAGCCCCAGGCUUGCGUUGGAGCCCUGCGGCUGCCGCAGCCUCCUAAAAGCAGUGGCGGGCUCGCUAUCACACCGAGUGCAGUAUAUUACUCUUCGCUCAGGGCGUGCAGCGGGUUCCGGCCGUGAAACCCCCUACUUUUAAAGGUUGACCUCGGAUCAGGUAGGAAUACCCGCUGAACUUAAGCAUAUCAAUAAGCGGAGGA